rnacentral:rRNA from 1 species
CUGGCGGCACGCCUAACACAUGCAAGUCGAACGAAGUAGCAAUACUUAGUGGCAGACGGGUGAGUAACAUGUAGGUAUCUACCCUUUGGCCUGGAAUAACACGAGGAAACUUGUGCUAAUACCGGAUAAGUCUUUACGGAGAAAGCUUUAUGCACCAUUGGAUGAGCCUGCAUUUGAUUAGUUUGUUGGUAGGGUAAUGGCCUACCAAGACUUUGAUCAAUAGCUGAUUUGAGAGGAUGAUCAGCCACAUUGGGACUGAGACACGGCCCAAACUCCUACGGGAGGCAGCAGUGGGGAAUCUUGCACAAUGGAGGAAACUCUGAUGCAGCGAUGCCGCGUGAGUGAAGAAGGCCUUUGGGUUGUAAAGCUCUUUCGUCGGGGAAGAAAAUGACUGUACCCGAAUAAGA